GACGAACGCUGGCGGCGUGCUUAACACAUGCAAGUCGAACGAUGAACUUGGAGCUUGCUCUGGGGGAUUAGUGGCGAACGGGUGAGUAACACGUGAGUAACCUGCCCUGGACUCUGGGAUAACUUCGAGAAAUCGGAGCUAAUACCGGAUAGGACUUUGCACCGCAGGGUGUGGGGUGGAAAGUUUUUCGGUUUGGGAUGGACUCGCGGCCUAUCAGCUUGUUGGUGAGGUAAUGGCUCACCAAGGCGUCGACGGGUAGCCGGCCUGAGAGGGUGACCGGACACACUGGGACUGAGGCACGGCCCAGACUCCUACGGGAGGCAGCAGUGGGAAUAUUGCACAAUGGGCGCAAGCCUGAUGCAGCAACGCCGCGUGCGGGAUGACGGCCUUCGGGUUGUGAACCGCUUUUAGUAGGGAAGAAGCCUUCGGGUGACGGUACCUGCAGAAAAAGGACCGGCUAACUACGUGCCAGCAGCCGCGGUAACAC
rnacentral:rRNA from 1 species